ensembl:lncRNA
GAUGUGGCAUGUUCCUGGACUUUGGGAAUGUGAGCACAACUAGCGCAAACCGUGGGGACUGGCUAACCGAGGAGGUGGAACUCAAUGCUAAAGGAGGCAGAGAUGAUCGCAACUAUCUAUGGGUAUUGCUGAAAAUGCGGUCCGAAAACCCGUUUCUAUCCCUGGUCCUGCCCAGUAUACUAAUCAUCUUGGCUGAUGUAGGCAGCUUCGCCCUGCCGCUGGGAGAGAGUAAGCGCAUCCCCUUCAAGGUUAAACUGGUUCUCAGCUUCAUCAUGUUCCUCAACAUCCUCAAGGACCUUCUGCCUGGAGGAGGCCAGUGCAGCCCCAUCAUCCCUUAUGACUGCCCAUACCAUAACCCCACCUCCACCAUGGGACACUCUGUUCACAACGUUGCAAACCGCUCACCCACACAACGCCACACACGCUGUCUGCCAUCUGCCCGGUACAGCUGAAACCAGGAUUAAUCCAUGAAGAGCACACUUCUCCAGUGUGCCAGUGGCCAUCGAAGGUAUAGGAUUUUCCCUAUGAAGUCUGUUACGACGCCCGUCAGGUUAAGACCCUGGUAAAGACAACGAGCAGGCAGAUGCGCUUCCCUGAGACUGGUUCUGACAGCUUGUGCAGAAAGUCUUCGGUUGUGCAAACCCACAGGUUCAUCAGCUGUCCGGGUGGCUCGUCUCAGACCAUUAUAGGAUCAGCCGUCUUGCUUCAGGGG